CAAAUGACUCUCGGCAAUGGAUAUCUCGGCUCUUGCAUCGAUGAAGAACGUAGUGAAAUGCGAUACUUGGUGUGAAUUGCAGAAUCUCGUGAACCAUUGAGUCUUUGAACGCAAGUUGUGCCCGAGGCCUUGUGGCCGAGGGCACGCCUGCUUGGGCGUCAUGA
rnacentral:rRNA from 20 species